CAGUAGCCACGGUAAUACGGAGGGUGCAAGCGUUAUCCGGAUUCACUGGGUUUAAAGGGUGCGUAGGCGGAUCUGUAAGUCAGUGGUGAAAUCUCCAGGCUUAACCUGGAAACUGCCGUUGAUACUAUAGGUCUUGAAUUUUGUGGAGGUUAGCGGAAUAUGUCAUGUAGCGGUGAAAUGCAUAGAUAUGACAUAGAACACCAAUUGCGAAGGCAGCUGGCUACACAACUAUUGACGCUGAGGCACGAAAGCGUGGGGAUCAAACAGGAUUAGAUACCCCCGUAGUCCCUGUCUCUUAUAC
rnacentral:rRNA from 1 species